rnacentral:rRNA from 1 species
AAAAUGACGGGAGGAAUGUAGCUUUGAUCUCGUAUUAAAGUGUUAAGCCUCUGGUAGAUGUGAUGACUAGGAUUGAGGAUUGCAACGAACCCUUCGGGGCCACUGUCUGGUCUCUGUUGGUCGCUCUGGUGCCGAAAGCUCGCUUACGGUCAUCGGAGUUGAUGUCAAAAGGUUAGAACGGGUUGAAUUCGUUAAGGAUGUUGACGUAAUGGCUUUAAACGA